CUCAGACGACGCUGGCGGCGUGCUUAACACAUGCAAGUCGAACGAUGAAGCCCUUCGGGGUGGAUUAGUGGCGAACGGGUGAGUAACACGUGGGCAAUCUGCCCUUCACUCUGGGACAAGCCCUGGAAACGGGGUCUAAUACCGGAUAACACUUCCUGCCGCAUGGUGGGGGGUUAAAAGCUCCGGCGGUGAAGGAUGAGCCCGCGGCCUAUCAGCUUGUUGGUGGGGUGAUGGCCUACCAAGGCGACGACGGGUAGCCGGCCUGAGAGGGCGACCGGCCACACUGGGACUGAGACACGGCCCAGACUCCUACGGGAGGCAGCAGUGGGGAAUAUUGCACAAUGGGCGAAAGCCUGAUGCAGCGACGCCGCGUGAGGGAUGACGGCCUUCGGGUUGUAAACCUCUUUCAGCAGGGAAGAAGCGAAAGUGACGGUACCUGCAGAAGAAGCGCCGGCUAACUACGUGCCAGCAGCCGCGGUAAUACGUAGGGCGCAAGCGUUGUCCGGAAUUAUUGGGCGUAAAGAGCUCGUAGGCGGCUUGUCACGUCGGAUGUGAAAGCCCGGGGCUUAACCCCGGGUCUGCAUUCGAUACGGGCUAGCUAGAGUGUGGUAGGGGAGAUCGGAAUUCCUGGUGUAGCGGUGAAAUGCGCAGAUAUCAGGAGGAACACCGGUGGCGAAGGCGGAUCUCUGGGCCAUUACUGACGCUGAGGAGCGAAAGCGUGGGGAGCGAACAGGAUUAGAUACCCUGGUAGUCCACGCCGUAAACGUUGGGAACUAGGUGUUGGCGACAUUCCACGUCGUCGGUGCCGCAGCUAACGCAUUAAGUCCCCGCCUGGGA
rnacentral:rRNA from 1 species